rnacentral:rRNA from 1 species
UUUAUGGAGAGUUUGAUCCUGGCUCAGGAUGAACGCUGGCGGCGUGCCUAAUACAUGCAAGUCGAGCGAACGGACGAGAAGCUUGCUUCUCUGAUGUUAGCGGCGGACGGGUGAGUAACACGUGGAUAACCUACCUAUAAGACUGGGAUAACUUCGGGAAACCGGAGCUAAUACCGGAUAAUAUUUUGAACCGCAUGGUUCAAAAGUGAAAGACGGUCUUGCUGUCACUUAUAGAUGGAUCCGCGCUGCAUUAGCUAGUUGGUAAGGUAACGGCUUACCAAGGCAACGAUGCAUAGCCGACCUGAGAGGGUGAUCGGCCACACUGGAACUGAGACACGGUCCAGACUCCUACGGGAGGCAGCAGUAGGGAAUCUUCCGCAAUGGGCGAAAGCCUGACGGAGCAACGCCGCGUGAGUGAUGAAGGUCUUCGGAUCGUAAAACUCUGUUAUUAGGGAAGAACAUAUGUGUAAGUAACUGUGCACAUCUUGACGGUACCUAAUCAGAAAGCCACGGCUAACUACGUGCCAGCAGCCGCGGUAAUACGUAGGUGGCAAGCGUUAUCCGGAAUUAUUGGGCGUAAAGCGCGCGUAGGCGGUUUUUUAAGUCUGAUGUGAAAGCCCACGGCUCAACCGUGGAGGGUCAUUGGAAACUGGAAAACUUGAGUGCAGAAGAGGAAAGUGGAAUUCCAUGUGUAGCGGUGAAAUGCGCAGAGAUAUGGAGGAACACCAGUGGCGAAGGCGACUUUCUGGUCUGUAACUGACGCUGAUGUGCGAAAGCGUGGGGAUCAAACAGGAUUAGAUACCCUGGUAGUCCACGCCGUAAACGAUGAGUGCUAAGUGUUAGGGGGGUUCCGCCCCUUAGUGCUGCAGCUAACGCAUUAAGCACUCCGCCUGGGGAGUACGACCGCAAGGUUGAAACUCAAAGGAAUUGACGGGGACCCGCACAAGCGGUGGAGCAUGUGGUUUAAUUCGAAGCAACGCGAAGAACCUUACCAAAUCUUGACAUCCUUUGACAACUCUAGAGAUAGAGCCUUCCUCUUCGGGGGACAAAGUGACAGGUGGUGCAUGGUUGUCGUCAGCUCGUGUCGUGAGAUGUUGGGUUAAGUCCCGCAACGAGCGCAACCCUUAAGCUUAGUUGCCAUCAUUAAGUUGGGCACUCUAAGUUGACUGCCGGUGACAAACCGGAGGAAGGUGGGGAUGACGUCAAAUCAUCAUGCCCCUUAUGAUUUGGGCUACACACGUGCUACAAUGGACAAUACAAAGGGCAGCGAAACCGCGAGGUCAAGCAAAUCCCAUAAAGUUGUUCUCAGUUCGGAUUGUAGUCUGCAACUCGACUACAUGAAGCUGGAAUCGCUAGUAAUCGUAGAUCAGCAUGCUACGGUGAAUACGUUCCCGGGUCUUGUACACACCGCCCGUCACACCACGAGAGUUUGUAACACCCGAAGCCGGUGGAGUAACCUUUUAGGAGCUAGCCGUCGAAGGUGGGACAAAUGAUUGGGGUGAAGUCGUAACAAGGUAGCCGUAUCGGAAGGUGCGGCUGGAUCACCUCCUUUCU